UGCGGAUCGCACGGUCUAGCACCGGCGACGGAUCAUUCAAGUGUCUGCCCUAUCAACUUUCGUCGGUACGGUAUUUGCCUACCGAGGUUCUUACGGGUGACGGGGAAUCAGGGUUCGAUUCCGGAGAGGGAGCCUGAGAAACGGCUACCACAUCCAAGGAAGGCAGCAGGCGCGCAAAUUACCCAUUCCCGACGCGGGGAGGUAGUGACGAAAAAUAACAAUGCAGGACUCGUUCGAGGCCCUGUAAUUGGAAUGAGUACACUUUAAAAGCUUUAACGAGUAUCCAUUGGAGGGCAAGUCUGGUGCCAGCAGCCGCGGUAAUUCCAGCUCCAAAAGUAUAUAUUUAAGUUGUUGCGGUUAAAAAGCUCGUAGUUGGAUUUUGGGCGCAGGCGGCCGGUCCGUCGCAAGGCGUGUACUGGACGUCCUGGCCUUCCCUCCGGUUCUCCGCCGGUGCUCUUGACUGAGUGUCGGAGGCGGCCGGAACGUUUACUUUGAAAAAAUUAGAGUGUUCAAAGCAGGCUCUCGAGCCUGGAUAAUGGUGCAUGGAAUAAUGGAAUAGGACCUCGGUUCUAUUUUGUUGGUUUUCGGAGCGCGAGGUAAUGAUUAAGAGGGACAGACGGGGGCAUUCGUACUGUGCCGUUAGAGGUGAAAUUCUUGGAUCGGCGCAAGACGAACGACUGCGAAAGCAUUUGCCAAGAAUGUUUUCUUUAAUC
rnacentral:ncRNA from 1 species